GUCCCCUUCGGUUAGAGGCCCAGGACCCCGCCCUUUCACGGCGGUAACAGGGGUUCGAAUCCCCUAGGGGACGCCA
rnacentral:tRNA from 1 species